rnacentral:rRNA from 1 species
UGGCCUACGGGGCGCAGCAGUGAGGAAUAUUGGUCAAUGGCCGAGAGGCUGAACCAGCCAAGUCGCGUGAGGGAAGAAUGUCCUAAGGAUUGUAAACCUCUUUUGUCGGGGAGCAAAAAGGCUCUGCGGAGUCGUAUUGAGAGUACCCGAAGAAAAAGCAUCGGCUAACUACGUGCCAGCAGCCGCGGUAAUACGUAGGUGGCGAGCGUUGUCCGGAAUUACUGGGUGUAAAGGGAGCGUAGGCGGGAGAGCAAGUCGACUGUGAAAUCUAUGGGCUUAACCCAUAGGUGCGAUCGAAACUGUUC